CGCGCGAUACAGGGUGACAGCCCCGUACACAAAAAUGCACAUGCUGUGAGCUCGAUGAGUAGGGCGGGACACGUGGUAUCCUGUCUGAAUAUGGGGGGACCAUCCUCCAAGGCUAAAUACUCCUGACUGACCGAUAGUGAACCAGUACCGUGAGGGAAAGGCGAAAAGAACCCCGGCGAGGGGAGUGAAAAAGAACCUGAAACCGUGUACGUACAAGCAGUGGGAGCCUCUUUAUGGGGUGACUGCGUACCUUUUGUAUAAUGGGUCAGCGACUUAUAUUCUGUAGCAAGGUUAACCGAAUAGGGGAGCCGAAGGGAAACCGAGUCUUAACUGGGCGUUAAGUUGCAGGGUAUAGACCCGAAACCCGGUGAUCUAGCCAUGGGCAGGUUGAAGGUUGGGUAACACUAACUGGAGGACCGAACCGACUAAUGUUGAAAAAUUAGCGGAUGACUUGUGGCUGGGGGUGAAAGGCCAAUCAAACCGGGAGAUAGCUGGUUCUCCCCGAAAGCUAUUUAGGUAGCGCCUCGUGAACUCAUCUCCGGGGGUAGAGCACUGUUUCGGCAAGGGGGUCAUCCCGACUUACCAACCCGAUGCAAACUGCGAAUACCGGAGAAUGUUAUCACGGGAGACACACGGCGGGUGCUAACGUCCGUCGUGAAGAGGGAAACAACCCAGACCGCCAGCUAAGGUCCCAAAGUCAUGGUUAAGUGGGAAACGAUGUGGGAAGGCCCAGACAGCCAGGAUGUUGGCUUAGAAGCAGCCAUCAUUUAAAGAAAGCGUAAUAGCUCACUGGUCGAGUCGGCCUGCGCGGAAGAUGUAACGGGGCUAAACCAUGCACCGAAGCUGCGGCAGCGACGCUUAUGCGUUGUUGGGUAGGGGAGCGUUCUGUAAGCCUGUGAAGGUGUGCUGUGAGGCAUGCUGGAGGUAUCAGAAGUGCGAAUGCUGACAUAAGUAACGAUAAAGCGGGUGAAAAGCCCGCUCGCCGGAAGACCAAGGGUUCCUGUCCAACGUUAAUCGGGGCAGGGUGAGUCGACCCCUAAGGCGAGGCCGAAAGGCGUAGUCGAUGGGAAACAGGUUAAUAUUCCUGUACUUGGUGUUACUGCGAAGGGGGGACGGAGAAGGCUAUGUUGGCCGGGCGACGGUUGUCCCGGUUUAAGCGUGUAGGCUGGUUUUCCAGGCAAAUCCGGAAAAUCAAGGCUGAGGCGUGAUGACGAGGCACUACGGUGCUGAAGCAACAAAUGCCCUGCUUCCAGGAAAAGCCUCUAAGCAUCAGGUAACAUCAAAUCGUACCCCAAACCGACACAGGUGGUCAGGUAGAGAAUACCAAGGCGCUUGAGAGAACUCGGGUGAAGGAACUAGGCAAAAUGGUGCCGUAACUUCGGGAGAAGGCACGCUGAUAUGUAGGUGAAGUCCCUCGCGGAUGGAGCUGAAAUCAGUCGAAGAUACCAGCUGGCUGCAACUGUUUAUUAAAAACACAGCACUGUGCAAACACGAAAGUGGACGUAUACGGUGUGACGCCUGCCCGGUGCCGGAAGGUUAAUUGAUGGGGUCAGCGCAAGCGAAGCUCUUGAUCGAAGCCCCGGUAAACGGCGGCCGUAACUAUAACGGUCCUAAGGUAGCGAAAUUCCUUGUCGGGUAAGUUCCGACCUGCACGAAUGGCGUAAUGAUGGCCAGGCUGUCUCCACCCGAGACUCAGUGAAAUUGAACUCGCUGUGAAGAUGCAGUGUACCCGCGGCAAGACGGAAAGACCCCGUGAACCUUUACUAUAGCUUGACACUGAACAUUGAGCCUUGAUGUGUAGGAUAGGUGGGAGGCUUGGAAGUGUGGACGCCAGUCUGCAUGGAGCCGACCUUGAAAUACCACCCUUUAAUGUUUGAUGUUCUAACGUUGACCCGUAAUCCGGGUUGCGGACAGUGUCUGGUGGGUAGUUUGACUGGGGCGGUCUCCUCCUAAAGAGUAACGGAGGAGCACGAAGGUUGGCUAAUCCUGGUCGGACAUCAGGAGGUUAGUGCAAUGGCAUAAGCCAGCUUGACUGCGAGCGUGACGGCGCGAGCAGGUGCGAAAGCAGGUCAUAGUGAUCCGGUGGUUCUGAAUGGAAGGGCCAUCGCUCAACGGAUAAAAGGUACUCCGGGGAUAACAGGCUGAUACCGCCCAAGAGUUCAUAUCGACGGCGGUGUUUGGCACCUCGAUGUCGGCUCAUCACAUCCUGGGGCUGAAGUAGGUCCCAAGGGUAUGGCUGUUCGCCAUUUAAAGUGGUACGCGAGCUGGGUUUAGAACGUCGUGAGACAGUUCGGUCCCUAUCUGCCGUGGGCGCUGGAGAACUGAGGGGGGCUGCUCCUAGUACGAGAGGACCGGAGUGGACGCAUCACUGGUGUUCGGGUUGUCAUGCCAAUGGCACUGCCCGGUAGCUAAAUGCGGAAGAGAUAAGUGCUGAAAGCAUCUAAGCACGAAACUUGCCCCGAGAUGAGUUCUCCCUGACUCCUUGAGAGUCCUGAAGGAACGUUGAAGACGACGACGUUGAUAGGCCGGGUGUGUAAGCGCAGCGAUGCGUUGAGCUAACCGGUACUAAUGAACCGUGAGGCUUAACCUU
rnacentral:rRNA from 1 species